CCUCAUCUUUUAUCCUCUGGCAAAUGGAUAUGUUACCCAAGGCCAUUUGAUACUAACACUAAUUUUCUCACUCAAUAGUAGAAAAGAGGCAAACAAAAUCUCUGGAAAAUCCGAUCAUUUCUCUUCUUCUCUCUCGAUCAUGAAAGAAGUCAGAAGGAAUUUAGACAUAUAUGGUUUUGUUGUGACGGUUCUUAGAACAACACAAACACUAUCCAUCUAUCUUCCUUUCCUUCGUUUGGAAGGGAAACGACAAUCUUCGUUAUGUCAUUUGAUUUCGUCUACACAAGCCUUUUAAUUUGUUAAUCUAACAUUGGAUGUUGUUUCCAUACAAUUUUUCAGUGCUGGUCAGUGCAAAUUAAAACAGUCGGGGUUUUAGCUGGCGUGUCCUUGCAAUUCGAUCUCUCCAAUCGUGGAGUACAAUAUUAGUGGUAGAGGUUUAUCUGUUGCUAUGUUGUGCAUCACUAUCAUCCAAGGUUGGAGCUUACCUUGACAUUGUUUGGAACGUUGGUGGAUACUUGACAACCCUUGGAUGCAUGGGUAGCAACACUUGUCUACUCUAAAGAGAAAAAGGCUUUCGCUACUUAUGGCAGCUGCACUCUUUGAAGGGCAUCCAUUGGUCCUUUGAUCAAUUUGGCAGUCGGAAUAAUUUUGAUUCCUUUUUUUAUAUAAUAUAAUGUUGUAGCAUAUGUUCUUAACAACUUUAGAUCGAAGCAUCUGGAUUAUUAAAUUCGCGAGCAAAACAAGUAGCAUAUAUAUUAUUAUACAAGAUUUAAUUUCUUAUUAAUCUCUUCGUUCAAUUCAUUUACUGAAUCAUUUUUUUUUUUUUUUUUUUUUU